rnacentral:rRNA from 1 species
CCUACGGGAGGCAGCAGUGAGGAAUAUUGGUCAAUGGUCGCGAGACUGAACCAGCCAAGCAGCGUGAGGGAUGAAGGUACAGAGUAUCGUAAACCUCUUUUGUCAGGGAACAAAGUCGGGGACGUGUCCCCGGAUGAGUGUACCUGAAGAAAAAGCAUCGGCUAACUCCGUGCCAGCAGCCGCGGUAAUACGGAGGAUGCGAGCGUUAUCCGGAUUUAUUGGGUUUAAAGGGUGCGCAGAUGGUCUGUUAAGUCAGCGGUAAAAGCCUGUGGCUCAACCCCGGACCGCCGUUGAAACUGGCAGUCUCGAGUGGGAGAGAAGUAUGCGGAAUGCGCGGUGUAGCGGUGAAAUGCAUAGAUAUCGCGAAGAACUCCGAUUGCGAAGGCAGCAUGCCGGCUCCACACUGACGCUGAGGCACGAAAGCGUGGGUAUCGAACAGGAUUAGAUACCCGUGUAGUC